rnacentral:rRNA from 1 species
AUUGAACGCUGGCGGCAGGCCUAACACAUGCAAGUCGAGCGGAUGAAGGGAGCUUGCUCCUGGAUUCAGCGGCGGACGGGUGAGUAAUGCCUAGGAAUCUGCCUGGUAGUGGGGGAUAACGUCCGGAAACGGGCGCUAAUACCGCAUACGUCCUGAGGGAGAAAGUGGGGGAUCUUCGGACCUCACGCUAUCAGAUGAGCCUAGGUCGGAUUAGCUAGUUGGUGGGGUAAAGGCCUACCAAGGCGACGAUCCGUAACUGGUCUGAGGGGAUGAUCAGUCACCGUGGACUUAAGACACGUUCCAAACCCCAACGGAGGGCCGAGGUGGGAAAAUUUGAAAAUGGGCGAAAGCCUGAUCCAGCCAUGCCGCGUGUGUGAAGAAGGUCUUCGGAUUGUAAAGCACUUUAAGUUGGGAGGAAGGGCAGUAAGUUAAUACCUUGCUGUUUUGACGUUACCAACAGAAUAAGCACCGGCUAACUUCGUG